AGACAAGGGACAAAUGGACACAAAACGGAUGCUUGCAUACGUUUUUGUGUCUAUGAGGACCGCAAAACACCGAAAAGCAGCCAUUUUUCGUAGAAAAAUGAGCGGAUUUGAGGUGUUUUUAGGAUUGCGAGAGUGCAAAGCACGGAGCAAUCCGUAGU
rnacentral:sRNA from 1 species